GGGUCCUUUCCGGGUAUAGUAUUUAGCCAUUACCAAGGCUGCUCCGCAUUACGAGCCGCUGCUGCACAGUGCGCGAGUCCGUCCAGGCUUAUGGCGUGCAGUGUCUGCUAUGAAUGACGCUGGUUAUUGGCAGCCAUUCGUAUAGUGGUUGGCUCUAGUCACAUUCACCCUGGGCCUGGAGGAGACGUCUGUCACAGCUAUAUGUUACAAUGCGGCCUUCAUCAUUACUUUUGCGCCUCGAUAUUUGGAAGCCUAAGUUCACAUCUGUGCGACUGCUGACAACGGCUGUGGGGAGAAGCAAGUCGGGAGAUGACCUUCCGACCUUUCAGUACGUUGGGCACAAACCUAGAAGAAAGGACCGUGUUUUUGUAUGGGGCUUCUCUUACACGGGAGCAUUGGGGAUCCCAAGCUUUGUAGUACCCGACAAAGGGAAGAAAAAGCCAAAACAAUACCAACUAACUCCUUAUAGGCUCGAUGUGGAUGAAAAGAUCUCAUCUGCGGCCUGUGGUUACGGCUUUACUCUAUUAUCGUCCAAGACAAGUGACGUGACAAAGGUGUGGGGCAUGGGGUUAAACAAGGAUUCCCAAAUAGGAUUCCAUAGAAGCCGAAGAGAUCGAACGAAAGGUUACGAAUACAUCUUGGAGCCAUCACCUGUACCCCUACCUCUGGAGAAACCACAGGCUACGCGAGUUCUGCAAGUAUCUUGUGGCAGAGCACAUUCCCUUAUUUUGACAGAUAAUGAAGGAGUUUUCAGCAUUGGGAAUAAUUCCUAUGGACAGUGUGCAAGACGAAUUGUUGAGAGUGAGAUUUACAGUGAAAGCCAGUUGAUUCACAGGGUAAAGCAGCUUGACAGCACAGUUGUCCAGGUUGCAUGUGGACAGGAUCAUUCUCUAUUCAGGACAGAGCGAGGAGAGGUUUAUUCCUGUGGCUGGGGAGCUGAUGGGCAAACAGGUCAGGGACAUUAUAACCUCAGCAGUACACCUACCAGGCUGUCUGGUGAUUUGGCUGGUGUGAAUGUUGUGCAGGUAGCCACUUUUGGAGAUUGUUGCCUGGCAGUAUCGAGUGAAGGAGACAUUUACGGCUGGGGAAAUUCUGAAUAUUUGCAGUUAGCAUCUAUAGCUGAUCUCACGCAGGUCAAUGUUCCACAGCUCUUACCAUUCAAGAAUGUUGGAAAGGUGAAGCAGGUGGCUUGCGGUGGAACUAGCUGUGCUCUUUUAAAUGGAUCGCAGCGGUGCAAUAGAUUCUCCAAGCCUUAUAUGUAUGGUGUUCCUGAGGAGCUGGCUGACGGGUACUCUUAUUCCCUAUAGUGCUGUCAUCUGCCCAUACCAUGACAGGUUUCAGCAGGUGGGUUUGCUCAUUUUUCGUGUGUAUUAGUAUGGCUUUCGGUGCAUGGUAUAACCUGCUGAUUUCUAGGGCAUGGGCUUCGAGCCUUCACAGGUAGUGCAUUGCCUCUACCUUUUUCUACGGUGACAGCAUCAGCGUUGCCUUCGUGUGGUUGCGGGUAUGCACUUAUUCAGUAUGCAUAUGUGUAUUGUUUGCAUUGCUCCCCUCCAUGGGUAGAGCGGUCGUACUGUCCUUGUUGUCACCCCUAGAUGCUGUUCUCUAUUGAACCACAUCAGCCUUCUCUACUUCUCUUUUGCAGGGCGAGUAGUUGCCAUUCAUAGGGUGUCGGAUGUAGCGGCUCUUGCCUCUUGGUCGGUCGCCCUUCAUCAUAUGGACUCCGAGCAGGAUUACCCAGUCGGGGUCACAGAACCAAGAAGGGUCACAGAACCGGAGCACCUAAGGAAAACAAUAGCCAGAAAAUCAAGGAAACAACAUCGGACAAGAGAGCGAAUCUAAGCAGAGGUGUCCCCCGAGGCAGCAGAUGAAAUGGCAGGGAAGGAUUUGUCACCAGCCACAGACCUGUCCUGGGUGGGACCCGAGGAUGCCGAGGAUAGAAAUGACAACCCGAGGUCGUCUGCAGGACCUAGUAGAGUGUGACCCAUCUGCAGCAGGGUCCCUGGGAGGGCAGAGGUGGCCUCAAUUUUGGGCAGGCAAUCGGUGUCGUGACCCUGUCAUAGUUUUGGAGAGUCGGACAGGAUUCCCUAUUGCUUGGCACAGGAAAGAGGCCCAGUUAGGAGAGACCGACCCAGAAGUGGGCUGGGGAGCUACUGCUCACAAACAGGGACAGGCGGACCGCGUAAGUGGUGUCUGUACGACCUGUGCACGGACGUCACUGCAGUCCACACCUAGAGCAGACAUUACUAGAGGUCAGGUUACCUCAUGGGGGUAAAAUGUAUAUGUAUACAACAUAAUACUGGACGGUCCGGUCAUCUCAGAACAGUCUGACUGCCAGAGAAACACAAUCACUGGAGGGGACCCAAGGAAGCAGAGAGGGAGGCUGGGAAAGGGGGAAAAAAAAAACGCCAGCCGGAGGCUGUCCUACCAGACCCCAGGUGCUGUCUCCCGAAGAGGCGCUGCAGAGGGGACCAGGGAGGUUGCAGGAGAGAUGCCAACAAGAUGGAGUCAUCUUCUUCUUCCAGGCAGAGGGAGGAGGUUCCGCCCCCCCCCCCCCCCCCCAACAGAAAGCCAGCACUUGGCCUGGUUAUGGGCCAUUGAGGAAGCACGGGAAAACUAAGAGGGGCGGCACAAGCGCGGCCUAGCAGGACCAGAAGCCAGGGCCUCUAUUUAUGAGGUGGCCGGGAAGGAGCGAGGUGGGCGGGGCUUGAUGUGACAGACCCUCCGGACAAAAAUAAAAUAAAAAACGGGUGAGGAGGGUAGAGGGGCGACGACCGGGGAAGGGUGACACGAGGCAAAGGAAGCACCUGGGGGCCCGUGGACAGGCCACGAAAAAAACACGGCCUAAGCCGGCGACUAAAUUAGCUGGAAGGGCUGUGGAGAAGCGGGUUGGCCAGGGAGGCAUAACAUGCUAUAUAUGUGUAAUCUCAUCCACAGAUUUUCCCCCCCAUCCCAAUAACAGUGCGCCAUCAACAGCUCAACCCCCCCCCCCCCCCCCAUAACGUCAUCCACAGAUGGCCCCCCCAAUAACUGUGUGUCAUCCACAGAUGGGUCGUGUC